rnacentral:rRNA from 1 species
UGGGGAAUCUUGCACAAUGGGCGGAAGCCUGAUGCAGCGACGCCGCGUGCGGGACGAAGGCCUUCGGGCUGUAAACCGCUUUCAGCAGGGACGAGGCGAGAGUGACGGUACCUGCAGAAGAAGCCCCGGCUAACUACGUGCCAGCAGCCGCGGUAAUACGUAGGGGGCAAGCGUUAUCCGGAUUCAUUGUGCGUAAAGCGCGCGUAGGCGGCCAGCCUGGUCGGGAGUCAAAUCCGGGGGCUCAACCCCCGUCCGCUCCCGAUACCGGCCGGCUUGAGUCUGGCAGGGGAAGGCGGAAUUCCCGGUGUAGCGGUGGAAUGCGCAGAUAUCGGGAAGAACACCGGUGGCGAAGGCGGCCUUCUGGGCCACGACUGACGCUGAGGCGCGAAAGCUAGGGGAGCGAACAGGAUU